GAUGAACGCUGGCGGCGUGCCUAAUACAUGCAAGUCGAGCGAACGGACGAGAAGCUUGCUUCUCUGAUGUUAGCGGCGGACGGGAGAGUAACACGUGGAUAACCUACCUAUAAGACUGGGAUAACUUCGGGAAACCGUAGCUAAUACCGGAUAAUAUUUUGAACCGCAUGGUUCAAAAGUGAAAGACGGUCUUGCUGUCACUUAUAGAUGGAUCCGCGCUGCAUUAGCUAGUUGGUAAGGUAACGGCUUACCAAGGCAACGAUGCAUAGCCGACCUGAGAGGGUGAUCGGCCACACUGGAACUGAGACACGGUCCAGACUCCUACGGGAGGCAGCAGUAGGGAAUCUUCCGCAAUGGGCGAAAGCCUGACGGAGCAACGCCGCGUGAGUGAUGAAGGUCUUCGGAUCGUAAAACUCUGUUAUUAGGGAAGAACAUAUGUGUAAGUAACUGUGCACAUCUUGACGGUACCUAAUCAGAAAGCCACGGCUAACUACGUG
rnacentral:rRNA from 1 species